rnacentral:rRNA from 1 species
AGAGUUUGAUCAUGGCUCAGAGCGAACGCUGGCGGCAGGCCUAACACAUGCAAGUCGAACGAACCCUUCGGGGUUAGUGGCGGACGGGUGAGUAACACGUGGGAACGUACCUUUAGGUUCGGAACAACACAGGGAAACUUGUGCUAAUGCCGAAUGUGCCCUUCGGGGGAAAGAUUUAUCGCCUUUAGAGCGGCCCGCGUCUGAUUAGCUUGUUGGUGAGGUAAAGGCUCACCAAGGCUUCGAUCAGUAGCUGGUCUGAGAGGAUGAUCAGCCACACUGGGACUGAGACACGGCCCAGACUCCUACGGGAGGCAGCAGUGGGGAAUCUUGCGCAAUGGGCGAAAGCCUGACGCAGCCAUGCCGCGUGAAUGAUGAAGGUCUUAGGAUUGUAAAAUUCUUUCACCGGGGAAGAUAAUGACGGUACCCGGAGAAGAAGCCCCGGCUAACUUCGUG